UACAGAGACUGCAAGCGUUAUUCGGAUUCACUGGGCGUAAAGGGUGCGCAGGCGGCCAAGUGUGUCAGGUGUGAAAUCCCGAGCUUAACCUCGGAACUGCGCCUGAAACUACUUGGCUAGAGUACUGGAGAGGGUAACGGAAUUCACGGUGUAGCAGUGAAAUGCGUAGAUAUCGUGAGGAACACCAGAGGCGAAGGCGGUUACCUGGACAGUUACUGACGCUCAGGCACGAAAGCGUGGGGAGCAAAAGGG
rnacentral:rRNA from 1 species